rnacentral:pre_miRNA from 1 species
CUAGUAUUCCCUCCGUCCCAAAAUUCUUGUCUUACAUUUGUUUAGAUACGGAUGUAUCUAACACUAAAAUGUAACUAGAUACAUCCGUAUUUAGACAAAUUUAAGACAAGAAUUUUGGGAUGGAGGGAGUACAAA